rnacentral:tRNA from 1 species
GGAGAGAUGGCUGAGUUGGUCGAAGGCACCGCACUCGAAAUGCGGAGUACUCGCAAGGGUACCGUGGGUUCGAAUCCCACUCUCUCCGCCA